ensembl:snRNA U6 U6 spliceosomal RNA
GUGUUCGCAGCACAUAUACUAAAAUUGGAAUGAUACAGUGAUUAGUAUGGCCCUUGCGCAAGGAUGACAUGAAAAUUCCUGAAGCAUUCCAUAUAGGG